CUACGCACUCCUACGGGAGGCAGCAGUGGGGAAUAUUGCACAAUGGGCGCAAGCCUGAUGCAGCCAUGCCGCGUGUAUGAAGAAGGCCUUCGGGUUGUAAAGUACUUUCAGCAGUGAGGAAGGUGGGUAUGUUAAUAGCAUAUUCAUUUGACGUUAGCUGCAGAAGAAGCACCGGCUAACUCCGUGCCAGCAGCCGCGGUAAUACGGAGGGUGCGAGCGUUAAUCGGAAUUACUGGGCGUAAAGCGCAUGCAGGUGGUUUGUUAAGUCAGAUGUGAAAGCCCGGGGCUCAACCUCGGAAUUGCAUUUUGAAAACUGGCAAACUAGAGUACUGUAGAGGGGGUAGAAUUUCAGGUGUAGCGGUGAAAUGCGUAGAGAUCUGAAGGAAUACCGGUGGCGAAGGCGGCCCCCUGGACAGAUACUGACACUCAGAUGCGAAAGCGUGGGGAGCAAACAGGAUUAGAUACCCUGGUAG
rnacentral:rRNA from 1 species